UCUGUCGAUUCGUGAGAUAUGUUUGAUAUUCUUGGUUGUUAUAUUUGAAACCGACCGAGAAUCGGACAUAUUUUACGGUCACAGA
rfam:Acyrthosiphon pisum strain LSR1 Contig27828, whole genome shotgun sequence.